GCCGCCGCCGUAGAGCGGGGACGCCCCCGUCAGCGCCCGCCUGGCUGGCCAGGCCUGGCCCCAGCUACCCGGGGGCGGCGGUGCGUCCGCCCCGGCUCCAGGCCACGCCCCAGGAGGAUGCGGACAACCUACCCGUGAUUCUAGGGGAGCCAGAGAAAGAGCAGAGGGUGCAGCAGCUGGAAUCGGAGCUCAGCAAGAAGCGGAAGAAAUGCGAGAGCCUGGAGCAGGAAGCCCGGAAAAAGCAGAGGCGAUGUGAGGAGCUGGAACUGCAGCUGAGACAAGCGCAGAAUGAGAAUGCCCGCCUGGUGGAGGAGAACUCCCGGCUCAGUGGGAGAGCCACAGAGAAGGAGCAGGUGGAGUGGGAGAAUGCGGAGCUGAGGGGCCAGCUCCUGGGGGUGACACAGGAGAGGGACUCAGCCCUUCGCAAGAGCCAGGGCCUGCAGAGCAAGCUGGAGAGCCUGGAGCAAGUGCUGAAGCACAUGCGGGAGGUGGCCCAGCGGCGGCAGCAGCUGGAGGUGGAGCAUGAACAGGCUCGGCUCAGCCUACGGGAGAAGCAGGAGGAGGUCCGGAGACUGCAGCAGGUGGGGCGGCACCCAGAGGGAACAUGAAGGAGCCGUGCAGCUGCUGGAGUCUACCUUGGAUUCCAUGCAGGCCCGGGUUCGAGAGCUCGAAGAACAGUGCCGCAGCCAAACCGAGCAGUUCAGCCUCCUGGCACAGGAACUCCAGGCUUUCCGCCUGCACCCGGGCCCCUUGGAUCUGCUCACAUCUGCCCUGGACUGUGGGAGCCUUGGAGACUGCCCACCACCCCCCUGCUGCUGCUCCAUUCCCCAGCCUUGCCGGGGGUCUGGCCCCAAAGACCUUGACCUCCCGCCGGGCUCCCCUGGGCGCUGCACCCCAAAGUCUUCCGAGCCUGCCCCUGCCACUCUCACUGGGGUCCCUCGAAGGACAGCCAAGAAGGCAGAGUCUCUCUCCAACUCCUCCCACUCCGAGUCCAUCCACAACAGCCCCAAGUCAUGCCCUACACCUGAGGUAAUUGCUGGGGUGGGGCCUGAAGUUCUGGCUUUGGCUUGGGGAAGGGUGCAGGGCAGGUGGCCCUGACCUCUUCUGGGGUCCCCAGGAGUUGGGUGGCAACUUCUGGGGUCCCAAGUUGGGAGGUGGGAGGCCUGUGGAUUCCUCCUGUGGGCGAGGCGCUCAGGUGGAGCCCUUCCUGCCCUCCACUGCCUGCCUGCAAGCCCCACCUGGGGCCACCCCAGCCCACCCCUGGGAGGCCCAGGGAGGCUCUGGAGUGCUGGGCUGGAUGGAGGAGACACUUGGGCACCAGGAUCUGCAUAAUGAGACUGUUCCUAAGAGCAUCUGUAGUGAAAGCAGGUGGUUGUAUGAGAAAGCACAUGUUCCAGGAUUCAAAUCCCAGCUUUGCCUUAGGCAAGUCACUGAGCCUUUCUGGGCUUCUGUUUCCUUAUCUGAAUCUUGGAGCUAAUAAAACCUGC
rnacentral:lncRNA from 1 species